UACGUAGGGGGCAAGCGUUGUCCGGAAUCAUUGGGCGUAAAGAGCGUGUAGGCGGUUCGGUAAGUCGGCUGUGAAAGUCCAAGGCUCAACCUUGGAAAGCCGGUGGAUACUGUGAGGCUAGAGUACGGAAGAGGCGAGUGGAAUUCCUGGUGUAGCGGUGGAAUGCGCAGAUAUCAGGAGGAACACCAAUAGCGAAGGCAGCUCGCUGGGACGUUACUGACACUGAGGCGCGAAAGCGUGGGGAGCGAACAGG
rnacentral:rRNA from 1 species